rnacentral:rRNA from 1 species
AGCCUUUGGAAAGGAUUAAAGGUUAUACCUGCCCAAUGUUAUAUUAAUGGCCGCGGUACUUUGACCGUGCUAAGGUAGCACAAUCAAUUGGCCCUUAAUUAGGGUCAGGUAUGAAUGGAGUUACGGGGCUUAGCUGUCUCUAGACUAUUUAAUUGAAGUUGCUAUACAGGUGAAAAAGCCUGUAUUAAGAAAAAAGACGAGAAGACCCUUAGAGUUUCACUUAAAAAAGAGUUAUUUCUUCACUAGUUUUGUUGGGGCAACAUAGGAGAAGAACUAAACCUCCUAAAGGAUAUAAACCGAUGUUUUUAAAUGUGAAUAAACUACCUUAGGGAUAACAGCAUAAUUUUAAAAAUAAGUUUGUGACCUCGAUGUUGGACUAGGAAACUUAAGGGCUAGCCGCCUUUUGGUAAGGUUCUGUUCGAACUAUAAUUCCU